CCUACGGGUGGCAGCAGUGGGGAAUAUUGCACAAUGGGGGAAACCCUGAUGCAGCGACGCCGCGUGAGUGAAGAAGUAUUUCGGUAUGUAAAGCUCUAUCAGCAGGGAAGAAAAUGACGGUACCUGAUUAAGAAGCGCCGGCUAACUACGUGCCAGCGGCCGCGGUAAUACGUAGGGGGCAAGCGUAUUCCGGAUUUACUGGGUGUAAGGGGAGGGUAGACGGCAGCACAAGACUGGAGUGAAAUGCCGGGGCUUAACCCCGGAACUGCUUUGGAAACUGUGCAGCUAGAGUGCAGGAGAGGUAGGUGGAAUUCGUGGUGUAGCGGUGAAAUGCGUAGAUAUUAGGAGGAACACCAGUGGCGAAGGCGGCUUACUGAACUGUAACUGACGUUGAGGCUCGAAAGCGUGGGGAGCAAACAGGAUUAGAUACCCUUGUAGUC
rnacentral:rRNA from 1 species